GGCCUAACACAUGCAAGUCGAGCGGCAGCGGGGGGAAGCUUGCUUCCCCGCCGGCGAGCGGCGGACGGGUGAGUAAUGUCUGGGGAUCUGCCCGAUGGAGGGGGAUAACCACUGGAAACGGUGGCUAAUACCGCAUAACCUCUGUGGAGUAAAGUGGGGGACCUUCGGGCCUCACGCCAUCGGAUGAACCCAGAUGGGAUUAGCUAGUAGGUGGGGUAAUGGCUCACCUAGGCGACGAUCCCUAGCUGGUCUGAGAGGAUGACCAGCCACACUGGGACUGAGACACGGCCCAGACUCCUACGGGAGGCAGCAGUGGGGAAUAUUGCACAAUGGGCGCAAGCCUGAUGCAGCCAUGCCGCGUGUAUGAAGAAGGCCUUCGGGUUGUAAAGUACUUUCAGCGGGGAGGAAGGCAACAGCGUAAAUAGCGUUGUUGAUUGACGUUACCCGCAGAAGAAGCACCGGCUAAG
rnacentral:rRNA from 1 species